rnacentral:rRNA from 1 species
AGUGAACGCUGGCGGUAGGCCUAACACAUGCAAGUCGAACGGCAGCACAGUAAGAGCUUGCUCUUACGGGUGGCGAGUGGCGGACGGGUGAGGAAUACAUCGGAAUCUACUUUUUCGUGGGGGAUAACGUAGGGAAACUUACGCUAAUACCGCAUACGACCUACGGGUGAAAGCAGGGGAUCUUCGGACCUUGCGCGAUUGAAUGAGCCGAUGUCGGAUUAGCUAGUUGGCGGGGUAAAGGCCCACCAAGUCGACGAUCCGUAGCUGGUCUGAGAGGAUGAUCAGCCACACUGGAACUGAGACACGGUCCAGACUCCUACGGGAGGCAGCAGUGGGGAAUAUUGGACAAUGGGCGCAAGCCUGCUCCAGCCAUACCGCGUGGGUGAAGAAGGCCUUCGGGUUGUAAAGCCCUUUUGUUGGGAAAGAAAAGCAGCAGGUUAAUACCCCGCUGUUCUGACGGUACCCAAAGAAUAAGCACCGGCUAACUUCGUG